rnacentral:lncRNA from 1 species
GAUGAAGCUCUCCCUCAGGUGAUGUCUUAAUUUUUGUAACAGUCUAGUUUGAACAGGCGUUAUUUCUGUUAGGAAACCUUGAAAAGUAUUAUUGGAUUAAAAAUACCAGACAGAACUUAAGCACCUCUCUCUACCUAAACUUGACAUGCACACGUAUUUGUCCUACGGACAGCGUGACGGUUCAUCUUGGGCCAUCUGGACGAGGCUGAGGGAUGCCCACAUAGCCAGUAAAACAUCAUUUCUGGAAACAUCGUUGCUGGGUGUGUGGCCUUUGUGGGCCAGACUGGCAGGCGCAGGAAAGGCUACCUGCCCUCACCAAGGCAGGGGCCACCAUCCAAUCCCUCAAAGAUCUUCCUAGGACAGCGGUGAAGGGCGGGCAAACGUGCUCUCUGCUCGAGCUGGGACCUCGCUCUUCUCCCGCCCCGGACAGCGGCACUCCUGCCCCUUGGGUCUCUGCUCCAGUGGCUCACUGGCUCUCUGGCCCUAACACGUGCCCUGGACUCUGCUACCCACUUCUCUGGGCCUCCAGCUGGCAGCUCUCUCAAGAAUCUCCCCAUUAGCCCACCGAACAAGAACAUUCAAGAAAGAGAAUACAGGGAAUGAGUACAGAAAUUUGGAAAGCAAACCACAAAAUCUCCCUCUGAUGUAUAUCCUCAACAUCAGGUACCCCAACACAUAACAAGGCUUUCUGAAAACGAGGAUUACCCUAAAGAUCCCUCUAACAUGAGCUUACUGAUGGCUGAAUAAUGUGGGAACUCUGUCUGAAAGCUUCCAUGCUCUGAACACAUUCAUAAGAUUUGUCCACUGUGUGGGUCUUCAGGGGUCUUACUGAGAGCUGAGCUAAGACUAAAGGCCUUCUCAUUUCACACUCAAAGUCCUUCUCCCCAGCUG